UACGUAGGGUGCAAGCGUUAAUCGGAAUUACUGGGCGUAAAGCGUGCGCAGGCGGUUAUGCAAGACAGAGGUGAAAUCCCCGGGCUCAACCUGGGAACUGCCUUUGUGACUGCAUGGCUAGAGUACGGUAGAGGGGGAUGGAAUUCCGCGUGUAGCAGUGAAAUGCGUAGAUAUGUGGAGGAACACCGAUGGCGAAGGCAAUCCCCUGGACCUGUACUGACGCUCAUGCACGAAAGCGUGGGGAGCAAACAGG
rnacentral:rRNA from 1 species